rnacentral:lncRNA from 1 species
UUCUAACAAGGUCUUUCUAUACAGAAUUCUCUCAACUUCCCAUCUUUGAUGGUAAGAAUUUUACUUUUCUUCUGGUAUAGGGAGUACAUCUUCUGUAUCAAGUUUUUAUCUCCUUCUUUCAAUAAGAAGGAGGAAAGUCUUUAAUCUGCCUUUUUUUUUAAAGAAGCUUUGGCUCAAAAUAAUCCUUAUGGCAAAGUGGUAUAUUCUGUAGUUGCAUAUUCUACAAUAUUUUAUUAAUAUUUUCAGCCCAGAAGAGCAGGGUGAUGAUAUCUCCCAAAACCAGUGACUCAGAAGCCAUGGAGGUGCCACCAUACAGAAGCCAUAAUAGAACACAGUCAACCAAAACUGUGGUCUCUUAGAGAGGAAGGUGUGAGGGCUCUCUUUACAUUUCUGCAAUCUCCUGCUGACAGUGAGACCAGCCUCUCCUGUUCUACCUCCUCAGCCUACUCAAUGUGAAGAUGAUGAGUACAAAGACUUUUAUGAUGAUCCACUUCUGCCUAAUAAAUGGGAGACUUGCAAACUUUCUAGGCAUAAGGCUUCCCCCUGCGCAACUCCCCUUGAAAGCUAAAGAAUCUUGAAGGUAAUAGAAAAAGCACGUAAUUAAUUGACUGUAUGCUUAGUCCUACUGACAAAAGCAGCCCUGCAUGGUAGCUCACUCAUGUAAUCCCAGAAUUUUGGGAAGCGGAGGUGAGCAGAUCACGUGAAGCUGUAAGUUCAAAACCAGUCUGGCCAAUAUGGUGAAACUCUAUCUCUAAUAAUACAAAAUUUAGCUGGAAGUGCUGGUGCAUGCC